ensembl:rRNA 5S_rRNA 5S ribosomal RNA
GAUUACAGUAAAAAUUUACCUUUUUGAAAUUGCCCAAUCUCAUCUGAUCUCGGAAGCUAAGCAGGGUCAGAUUUGGUUAGUACUUCGAUGAGAGAGCGUCUAGGAAUGCCAGGUGCUAUAGGCA